rnacentral:rRNA from 1 species
AAUUUUGGACAAUGGGGGCAACCCUGAUCCAGCCAUUCCGCGUGAGUGAAGAAGGCCUUCGGGUUGUAAAGCUCUUUCGCAAGGGAAGAAAACUUAUGAUCGAAUAAAUCAUGAGGUUGACGGUACCUUGAUAAGAAGCACCGGCUAACUACGUGCCAGCAGCCGCGGUAAUACGUAGGGUGCGAGCGUUAAUCGGAAUUACUGGGCGUAAAGCGUGCGCAGGCGGUUUUGUAAGUCGGAUGUGAAAUCCCCGGGCUCAACCUGGGAACUGCGUUCGAAACUGCAAGGCUAGAGUGUGUCAGAGGGGGGUAGAAUUCCACGUGUAGCAGUGAAAUGCGUAGAGAUGUGGAGGAAUACCAAUGGCGAAGGCAGCCCCCUGGGAUACACUGACGCUCAUGCACGAAAGCGUGGGGAGCAAACAGGAUUAGAUACCCUGGUAGUCCACGCCCUAAACGAUGUCAACUAGU